rnacentral:rRNA from 1 species
CCUACGGGAGGCAGCAGUGAGGAAUAUUGGUCAAUGGGCGCAAGCCUGAACCAGCCAAGUCGCGUGAGGGAUGACGGUCCUAUGGAUUGUAAACCUCUUUUGUCGGGGAGCAAGGCCCGCCACGUGUGGCGGGAAGGAGAGUACCCGAAGAAAAAGCAUCGGCUAACUCCGUGCCAGCAGCCGCGGUAAUACGGAGGAUGCGAGCGUUAUCCGGAUUUAUUGGGUUUAAAGGGUGCGUAGGCGGAAGGUUAAGUCAGCGGUAAAAUGUCGGUGCUCAACACCGGUCUGCCGUUGAAACUGGUCUUCUUGAGUGAGCGAGAAGUAUGCGGAAUGCGUGGUGUAGCGGUGAAAUGCAUAGAUAUCACGCAGAACUCCGAUUGCGAAGGCAGCAUACCGGCGCUCAACUGACGCUGAGGCACGAAAGCGUGGGGAUCGAACAGGAUUAGAUACCCCGGUAGUC